CGGGCCGAUGGCAACUUUCGCUCGGGGCCAAAGUACAGGGCGAGACCGGCACCGUCGAAAGCAAACUCGUCAUCACGGCGCAGUGAUGAGAACGGUCAGCCUGGCUAUUGCUGCUGCCGCCGCAUUGAUCGCGGCGGCGGGUGGCGGAUUCAUCACCGGCCGCGGUCAACAUCAGCCAGCCGAAGGGGCAAGCCCGGCGGCUCUGGCAUCUGCGGCCGCGCAAACGAAUGGCGCAACGAUCUACUACAAGGAUCCCGACGGCAGACCGUUUUACUCGCCAACACCAAAGAAGGCGCCGGAUGGA
rnacentral:misc_RNA from 1 species